rnacentral:rRNA from 1 species
UACGGAGGGGGCGAGCGUUAUUCGGAAUUAUUGGGCGUAAAGGGCGCGUAGGCGGCUUGGUAAGUCAAAGGUGAAAUCCCUCGGCUCAACUGAGGAAUUGCCUUUAAAACUGCAUCGCUAGAAUUGUGGAGAGGUAAGUGGAAUUCCGAGUGUAGAGGUGAAAUUCGUAGAGAUUGGGAAGAACACCAGUGGCGAAGGCGGCUAUCUGGACGGUUACUGACGCUAAGACGCGAAAGCGUGGGGAGCAAACAGG